rnacentral:lncRNA from 1 species
AUGGAAGGCGUCAUCACGCUCAGCUCCAAGGGACAUCCAGUGUCAGCAGAGGUAGUAGAGGAGGUGUCCGAAUACCCUCUGCUGGCCAAAGGAGCGAAUCUGCAGUAUGUGCCCAGGCCAACAAUGGAUCUGGAAGGGCUGCUGCAGAGACUGCCAUGUCUGUAUGAUGGCGCCGGGAAAUGGGUAGCAGCCUUCGAAGAAGAAACCAUAGCCACCAUCCUGGCAGUGGGUGACCUCAAGGCCCUCCUUGGAAAGGUGCUGGGGAAGCAGGAGAUGGAGGAGACGCUGAGAUCGACACAGAUGAAUGCAUAUGCAGGUACGCAAGCACACGAUGGAGAGUUGUUCAACAUGCAUCGCAAUGUGCUGUGGACAGCUCUGAGACUUCGUUAUCCAACCAGAAUUCAACCUGAUAGCAUUGUAGCUGUGCCAAUAAAAGAUGAUGAGAGCCCACAAGCCUAUGUUCACCUCACUCGAAAAGAAUGGAUUAGACAAACAGGUGGAAGACCUGAUGAGGACAUUUUCCAUAGGCAGGCUCUCAGAAAAAGAAUUGUUGAUGGUUUGCCCUUGCCUGCACAGAGUAAGCUGGGAGAUGCAGUGGGGCUAUACACCAUGCCCUUUGAGCAAUUCAUCGACCAUGUGAUCGAUGCUGUGACCAAAAUUCGUUCUGCUGCGCUCCGUCAGAAGCAGCAGGAUGAAGAGACGGUGAGAAAACUGACCCGGCAGCAGCUAACUGAAGGGAGGAAAAAGAUUCAAGCAGGCGUUCAGCCUGUGGCUGCAGCUGGACAUGCACCUCCCCCCACCAUCACAGCUCCACCUGCUGUCCAGCCACAAGUGAUCUAUGUCCAGUCAGGAGGCUGGAGAGGCGGCCCACCAAGGAUGAGAGGGGGAGCCGCGAUUGGUAGAGCAAGGGUGAUGUGGGGUAAUCAAGAAAAUGAGGUAAGGUUCUAUCGCUGUUGGAGAGUCGGACACAUGAGACGUCAGUGUUACGGGUCGAUGCGCCAGAUCCCACAAGGAGCACCACGGCAGAUAGGACUCACCAGUCCAUGGCAGGGUCUUCCUGCUGGAUACUAG